AAAGAUGAACUGAUUACAUGCAGGUGGUCAAAAGGCCAAAGGUCACCGUGACAGCACCAAACACAUUUACGGCCACAAUUCAAGAAUUCACAGUCUUAUUAACUGCAGCAGGACUGGUCGGUGGAGGCGUAUCGAUACUACGAUUGAUACUUUUCUGUUACUUGGUGGUUGUUAACAGAACCGCUCAUGUUUUCAUUAUUUAACUUUGAGUGAGCAACAUCUUGAGGAACGCACAGAAAACUGGAAACCGCAUCCUCUCUGCCUCUUCAUACUCAAACUGUAGAGUUGACUGUGUUCAGAGUUCCUGAAGCAGCAGUCAUUUGUUUUUCCUGCUCAGUCUGAUCUCUGUCUUCUCAGCUGUAAAUCUCGCCGUCUGUCUUUUGUUUUUUUGUAUUUCUCUUCCUGCUCGGCCUCCAGACCAGCAAUCUGAUUGGAUUUGGAGAGUUUGACGUUCAGAUGAGCGCAGACUUUCCUGACCAGAACUAAAGAUGAGCUCCUCAUCCUCUUGUUACCAGUGUACUCUUCAUGUCUUUGUUUAAUGCAGAGACUAAAGCCCCAUUUGGACGGGAUUAACUGUACGGGAGGAGGUGGAGAAUUAAAUCUUCACUGUGGUCUUCUGUAAUGUAACCUCCAUAACUCUGCUAAGAAGUCAGAAAAAAGACACUUGUGUUUGUGCAGAACUUGCUUUUGGAACUUGUUUUUAACUUUUCUUCAGUAUCACAGUGAUCCAGUGACAGCUGUCUGUACGCCCAUGGGUUCACUGCAGACAGGAGAUGAUCGCAGCUAAUUCUGCAUACUUAGAAUAAAAAUAUGUGAAUAAAUGUAUAUGCUGUGAUUACUGCAGGUAUGGGUGGGUGGGCCAGGUAUUGUUAAACUAGCCCACCUCCUCUAAAAAAGAUCCAGUCCAAAUGGAGCUGAAGUCGGGUUUAGACGGGAUCUGUCACUUUAUUUUUGUACAUACAUCUGUUUUUAUUAAGUCCAUAAUACUCCCUGCUGUAAAACAGUGAAAAUAAAGAAUGUGAUUCUG